CAUGCUCAGUGCGCCGCUUCGGCAGGCCCGCGGCUUUGCGGCGGCGCGCGUCCCGCCGCCCCUCAUGGAGGCCCCAGAGACCCUGGGAGGUCCCGUCCUGAAUGAUGUUGUGGCAUAUGUUGAAGUGUGGUCAGCCAAUGGAACAGAAAAUUACUCAAAGACAUUUACAAAUCAGCUUGUGGAUAUGGGGGCGAAGGUGUCAAAAACUUUUAACAAACAAGUAACUCAUGUCGUGUUCAAAGAUGGAUACCAGAGCACCUGGGACAAAGCACGGAAGAGAGGCGUGAAGCUCGUCUCAGUGCUCUGGGUUGAAAAAUGCCGGACAGCUGGAGCGCACAUUGACGAGUCCUUGUUCCCUGCAGCUAAUCCCAGUGAACACCUAUCAAGCCUGAUUAAAAAAAAACGCAAGUGUAUGCAGCCCAAAGAUUUUAUUCCUAAAACACCAGAAAAUGAUAAAAGACUGCAGAGGAAGUUUGAGAAAAUGGCUAAACAGCUGCAACAGCAGAAAACCACUCUGGAUAAUGAUGUUCCUGUUCUCUUAUUUGAGUCUAAUGGCUCGUUGGUGUACAGCCCCACAGUUAAAAUCUGCAGUGGCCGCCACAGUGCGAUGGAGCGGAGGCUGCAGGAGAUGAAAGAGAAACGGGAGAAUCUCUCCCCCACCUCUUCCCAGAUGAUUGAAAAGUCUGAUGAUAACACCGUUAAGUCUCUGUGUGAAGCAUCUUUGAACCUUUCACAUGAUACGUUGUGUUCAGAGGACUCCUUUGCUGAUGUUCUGCACGCGUCUUUUGGUGAUCUUUGUGGAAGCUCUGGCUGUGGGACUCAGGAGAGGAAAUUGGGAGGAUUCCUCGAUGAAAGUAACAGCGCGGUGUGUGCUUCCUCACCUGUGCUGAAAACGAGCAGUGUCUGUCUGCCAGCAUCUCCAGGUUCCCUUGGCCAGUUCACGCCUCAGAAAUCCGCCAGCACUCUUUUCGAGGGAGGGGUCCACGGGCAGGCGGAUGCUGCAGGCCGCAUCACCCCCGAUGCGAAACCAUCGCCGGGGCAGGCUCAGGGGGUGUUUGAUGAGAAGAGGGAUUUGUCUGCAACAAAAGGCCCCCCUGGGGGCCAUUCACGGCCCCAGAGCUCCUCAGCCAAGAGACAAAGGACUUGGGAGACCUGCAGUCCACCCCUGGGGGAGAGACUGAAGAAGAGGCGGUCCCGCGGGCGGUCCCCGGCGCCCCGCCUGUGGCUGUGGGGGCCGGAGAAGAGCCCGCGGCGUGUGAGCAGCCCUGCCGUCCAGGCUCUGUGCCUCGAGGAGUCCUCGUACGAUGAUUACUUUUCUCCCGAUAAUCUCACGGAGAGGCACCCAGAGAGCCUCCUUCCCGGGGCCUGGCCACCUGCCGGCCCUGCCCUGCUCCCCUGCAGGAGGGGCCUUUCCAGGAGGGAGAGGACCAGCCUCCUGGAGUCGGCUGACUUCUCCUGCAUUGGCCGAAGCCCCCGGGCAGCAGCCAAGACUGCCUUCCAUCUUCAGAAGCCUGCAAACUGCGGAGCAGAUGUGGGGUUGAGCAGCAGGGCUUCUGAGGAAAUGCCUGCUGCUGAAGAGACCCCAGCGGACUGUCCCCAGGCUGAGGCUCAGAGAAGGGGGGAUGCCUGCCUGGGCGGGGGUGCCUCUACCCACGUCCUCGACGGAUUCACUCCUCAGAAGGGAUGUCGAGGUGAUUUCACGCCUUUGGAAGGAAGCAGUAAAGAGAUGAAAGGAUGGAUGGACGUAAAAGGCACACAGAAAGAAGAUGCUUCUUCUAAAGCCGUGAAUUCCUCUGAAGGCGAAGCACACAGUGAUUAUAAGCUAAACUUUGUAGGCGACUGUUAUGUGGAAAAAUCUACAGAGGAAAGGGAAGAGUUACCCCGAGGACAUAGAGAAAGUGUUAAAAGUGGACCAGUGAAGCAGGAUGUUUUGGAUGGCUCAUGGGAAAGCUUCAAGGACCUCAACAAACCUCAUGAGGAAUCAAGGAAAAGAGAGAAGGGCCAAAAGCCAACAAGAACAUUAGUCAUGACAAGCAUGCCAUCUGAAAAGCAGAGCGUGGUGGUCCAGGUGGUGAACAGACUGAAGGGCUUCUCCUUGGCCCGGGAGGUGUGCGGCAGCACCACGCACGUGCUCGCCGGGGCGCCACGCCGCACCCUGAACGCGCUGCUGGGCAUCGCGCGCGGCUGCUGGAUCCUCUCCUUCGAGUGGGUAGAUGUCACGGAGCUGAGAGAGCUACCCGUGAGGGACGAGCCAUCCAGCCCGCAUCAGGCGUCACCGGAUGCACGAACCCAGCACGAGUGGCCCUGCUGUUCGACACAGAGGCCGCCUCUGCUCCCUCCUGCUUCCGCCAGCUAAGUACAAGUGGUGGUAGCACUGGGAGCCCCUGUGUCACCCUGGGGAGCCCUGCCAGACAGUCAGCCCACCUGGCCGAUUGCCUUAAAGAACACAAGGCAGCAUCACCUUGAAUAAUUUCUUCUGCUUCAGGGUCCAUGGUCCUGUAAUAGUUUCCUCUGGCUGCCAUAACAAUUAGAGGUUAGCUUCAGAGGUCAGUAGUCCAAAAUAGGUUUCCCUGGGCUCACAUCCAGGUGUUGUCAGGGCUGCGUUCCUUCUGGAGGCUCCAGGAGAACAUUUGUUCCCGGCCCUUUCCAGCUUCUGGAGGCCACCCACAUCCCUGGGCUCGCGGCCCCUUCCAGGGAUUAUGUCAUGACCUCUGCUUUCAUAGUCACAUUUGUGACUUCCCGCCUCCGUCUUUCACCUGUUGGAACCCUCGUGGUCUCAUGGAACCCACCUGGAUGGUCCAAGGUCUCUCCCACCUCGAGGUCAUUGAUGUCAUUGCCUUCCUGUCACCGUGGAAGGCCGCACAUUCACAGAUCCCGGGACUCACCUGUGCACAGCUGAGGGCCGUAUCCUGCCUGUUCCCGCAAGUACAGAAUCUCAUACAUCCAGUGCCUUCCACUAAGAAGACAGGAAUCAGCAGGUUCAGAGAGAAAGAAUGGGAUGAAAAGGCCCUUGAAUGAUUGCAUUGGAAACACACAUCCAUUCACGUACUGUGGUCUUUGGAAAUGGGUCACUGGAUUUCCGAGGAACCGUUUGAACUGUCUAACUACUUCCCUGCAGCUCCU